UCCGGCUUAUCACCGGCAGUUUCCUCAGAGUUCUCAGCAUUACCUGUUAGCAACGGAGGACGAGGGUUGCGCUCGUUGCGGGACUUAACCCAACAUCUCACGACACGAGCUGACGACAGCCAUGCAGCACCUGUGCUCUCUCCGGCCGAACCGAAGGACUCCAUUUCUGGUGUCCGCGAGAGGCAUGUCAAGGCCUGGUAAGGUUCUUCGCGUUGCCUCGAAUUAAACCACAUGUUCCACCGCUUGUGCGGGUCCCCGUCAAUUCCUUUGAGUUUUAAUCUUGCGACCGUACUCCCCAGGCGGGGUGCUUAACGCGUUAGCUGCGCCACUGAGAGGUAACCCCCCAACGGCUAGCACCCAUCGUUUACAGCGUGGACUAC
rnacentral:misc_RNA from 1 species